CAGUCGCCGCGGUAAUACGUAGGUGGCGAGCGUUGUCCGGAAUCAUUGGGCGUAAAGGGAGCGCAGGCGGGCAUGUAAGUCUUUCUUAAAAGUGCGGGGCUCAACCCCGUGAUGGGAAAGAAACUAUGUGUCUUGAGUACAGGAGAGGAAAGCGGAAUUCCCAGUGUAGCGGUGAAAUGCGUAGAUAUUGGGAGGAACACCAGUGGCGAAGGCGGCUUUCUGGACUGCAACUGACGCUGAGGCUCGAAAGCCAGGGGAGCGAACGGGAUUAGAUACCCCAGUAGUCCCUGUCUCUUAUACA
rnacentral:rRNA from 1 species